AUGGCAGAAUGACAUCCCCCAUUUGGCCCGCUGGAAAUGCCCACCAUCUUUUGGGAAGAUUUACUGGCUGUUUAUAGAAUGCCUGCCUAUAUAAUAUGAAAAAGCUGCUCUCAACUUCUCCCCCAAAACCUUUUAAAAGAAAACAUUUGCCACAUCCAGCCCUUCUAGAGUAAAGAGGUUGCCAACGUAUGAAGUAGAGUUAGAAAAUCACACACCUUGCAAAUUCUCAUUAGUUUAAAAAGAAGUCAUAGAAAAUGUCUUCUGGAGUUGACUUUUUGAAAUGGAGUUAUUAGACCACUUCUGGAAGCAACACGUCCACGUUUGUUCAAUGGGCUAGAGGACAUGGAGCAGAAGACCUGAGAAGGAAAAGAAGUGCCAGUAGAACGUAUGUCUGAAACUCUCCCCUUUCUGCCUGAAGUUAGAAGACUACAUGUUGAAAGUUUGCUUUGAGCUUGGUUCUUCUUGAACAUGCAGCUUCAAAUCAAUGUCUGUCUGCUCAUAAGUUCAACCAAACCAGGACUGCCACUGGCUGCUAAAGGGAAGAAAAGGCUCCAUGAAGAAUUCCAGCGUACCUCCUGCCCUGGCAGCCAUUCUGCUGUUUCUAUGGAAACAUUCACCAGAUAGCAGCAUGCUAUACUGUGCAAGUGAAGAAGAAGGCAUCUUCCUUUCAUCACCACAUCUAGAGUGUGACCACUUCACAGAAUGAAAGAAUGUGGUGAACACAGUUCUUUAUUCUGACAGAUAAAUCGUUCAAGAGAAAGGGGCCAGAUGCCAGUGACAUUUUCUUGGACUUCCCAGCCUUUAGAACCAUGAUCCAAAUAAACUUGUAUUGUUUAUAAAUUA